rnacentral:rRNA from 1 species
AAACUAACAAGGAUUCCCCUAGUAGCGGCGAGCGAAGCGGGAAGAGCUCAAAUUUGUAAUCUGGCACCUUCGGUGUCCGAGUUGUAAUCUCUAGAAGUGUUUUCCGCGUUGGACCGCACACAAGUCUGUUGGAAUACAGCGGCAUAGUGGUGAUACCCCAUUACACGGUGCGGACGCCCAGCGCUUUGUGAUACACUUUCGACGAGUCGAGUUGUUUGGGAAUGCAGCUCAAAUUGGGUGGUAAAUUCCAUCUAAAGCUAAAUAUUGGCGAGAGACCGAUAGCGAACAAGUACCGUGAGGGAAAGAUGAAAAGCACUUUGGAAAGAGAGUUAAAAGUACGUGAAAUUGUUGGAAGGGAAACGCUUGAAGUCAGACUUGCUUGCCGGGCUUGCUCGGUUUGCAGGCCAGCAUCAGUUUUCCGGGGCGGAUAAUGGCAGUUAGAAGGUAGCAGUCUCGGCUGUGUUAUAGCUUUCUGCUGGAUACGUCCUGGGGGACUGAGGAACGCAGCGUGCCGUAUGGCGAGGGCUUCGGCCCUUCAC